rnacentral:tRNA from 1 species
GGUGGCGUAGCUUAGCCAGGCCUAAAGCGCCGGCCCGUCAAGCCGGAGGUCACGGGUUCGAAUCCCGUCGCCAUCGCCA